rnacentral:rRNA from 1 species
UACGGAGGAUCCGAGCGUUAUCCGGAUUUAUUGGGUCUAAAGGGAGCGUAGGCGGGUUGUUAAGUCAGUUGUGAAAGUUUGCGGCUCAACCGUAAAAUUGCAGUUGAUACUGGCAUCCUUGAGUACAGUAGAGGUAGGCGGAAUUCGUGGUGUAGCGGUGAAAUGCUUAGAUAUCACGAAGAGCUCCGAUUGCGAAGGCAGCCUGCUGGACUGUAACUGACGCUGAUGCUCGAAAGUGUGGGUAUCAAACAGG